AUGAGUGUCACUCUUCACUGUGUGUUUCUCUGUGUUUCUCUGGUGUUCGGCGCUUGUUAUGGUGUGUAUGAAGAUCUCAGCAGACUCUCACACACACACACACACAUGCACACUAACAGACGUCUCUCUCUCCCUGCAGAUUCUCAGGAGAGCCGUGAGUCAUUCGAGGUAUUUGUGAAUCCAUAUCAGGCGAACGCUUUCAUGAGGAAUCCACGAAAUCCGAUCUACAACCAGUACAUCUACAGGAGGUACAACACACACACACACACACACACACACACACACACACACACACACACACACACAUUCACACACAUUCACACACACACACACACACUCACACACACACAAACGCAUUCAAACACACCCACACAGACACUCACAAACACAUUCACACAUACUUAUACACACACACACACAAACACAUUCAAACACACUCACAAACACACACUCACACAGACACUCACAAACACUUAUACACACACAAACUCUCUCUCUCAUACAUGCACACACACACACACAACUGUCUAACAGGACAUUCCACAGGUAUGCGUUUUUAUAUACAGUUAGUUAUAAAUACUACAAACAAACCCUCAUAGAACACUGACUUCAUUGUUACAUUUAAAACAAAAAUAUUCUAAAAACAUUUACUUCAUUUAUAUAUUGUUUUUACAAAGAAGUGUCCUCAAAUGGAGGUUUUGUCAGAUUUAGCUGACUUCAUGGGACCAAAUAUACAUAUUUUGACAAAAGUUGACAAAUGUGAUUUUUUUUUAUUAUUUAUUUAUUUUUGUCAAGUCAAGUCAUCUUUAUUUAUAUAGCGCUUUAAACAAAAAAGAUUGCGUCAAAGCAACUGAACAACAUUAGUUAGGAAAACAGUGUGUCAAUAAUGCAAAAUGACAGUUAAAGGCAGUUCAUCAUUGAAUUCAGUGUUGUCAUCAUGCAGCUCAGUUCAGUUUAAAUAGUAUCUGUGCAAUAAUUUGCAAUCAAGUCAACGAUAUCACUGUAAAUGAAGAGUCCCCAACUAAGCAAGCCAGAGGCGACAGCGGCAAGGAACCAAAACUCCAUCAGUGAGAGAAUGGAGAAAAAAACCUUGGGAUAAACCAGGCUCAGUUGGGGGGCCAGUUCUCCUCUGACUGGACGAAACCAUUUUGUUAUUAUCAUUUUUUUUUAUCACUUUAUUUUGGACCUGAUAUAGUAUUUAUUAUGAAAAGCAGCUGAUGUUUUCAGAACAUAGCAAUUUGAAACACUUUUUAAACACUUAUUUACUGAUGAUCUACAGCUUUUUUCACUUAGAAAUAUUUGUAUCCCCUUGCAUUCCUUUUUACAGUGUAUAUUUAUACAGUGGUGGCCAAAAUUAUUAGAACACUAGUAUUUUCAGCAGCUGAAAAAUGUACAUACAGUCUUUUGCUGUAGUGUGUCAGUAAACAUUCAUUUUGCCAUAAAAACAGAACCACUGGUAGAAAUCACAGGCAAAAAACAAAAUANAUAUAUAGUUUAUUAUUAUUAUUUUAUGCUGAAGCAAACAAGGGCUAAACAGAACAUGAUAUAUAUAGGGGAACUAAUAAGAGUUAUGAAACACACCUGGAAACAAUAAGAAUUAAAACACAGAACAAAGGUUAAUGGGAAAUGAAGUCCACAAUCAGUGUACUAUGAUCCAGGAGGAGUGCCCUCUAGUGGCUGUCAUGGGCACUAAAUCAGGUGGCUGUGACAUGACCCCCAGCUUUAAGGAGCGGUCCAAAAGGCAGAGAAAUCCAGGAGGGAGGUGAAACCACGGCAGACAAGGGGGAGGGAUGGUGGCCCAGGCUGUGUAGUGGAAAAGGGCCUAGAGACAGGUAGACCAGGAGGCCAGGGCGGGGCAGACAGACCGGGUGGCCAGGGCGGGGCCAGGAGCAUGGCAGGCAGCAAGGGUGGAGGUAAAGAUCACUCCAGUGGAGCUGACAAGGCAGAUGACCCCCUGGUGGAUCAGGCAGGACUGCAGUGAAGAGCACAGAGAGGUUAGUAACAGCCUUUAUGGCCAUAACAGGGUAGACAGAGAGUCCAGCAACGGUGUCCUAGACCGUGAGUUUAGGAGUGGGCACCACUGCCCAGAGAGGAGCUGAAGUGGACAUCGGGAAGUUCUGCCUUGGGAAGUUCUGGAGCAGAAAUCGCCACCCCAGGAGGAACUGGAGUGGGCUCAGUAGCAGACUCCUGGACUGGAAUGAGCUCUGGAGCAGAUUCAUAGACUGGAAUUAACUCAUAGACUUGAGUGAGCUCAGAAGUGAACUCAUAGACUAGAGUGGACUCUAAGGGCUCCUGGACUGGUGCGAGCUCUUGGGUGGACUCAGAAGCUGUCCAUGCAUUCAGAACAGCCCACAGGUGAAAGUCAAAGGCAGCUUUCUUAAUUAUGGCAGCAGCAGUGAAAUCGGGCAGCUGUAUAGGGACCUCUGAGACCACUGGAGUCGGGUAUAUGAAACCAAUAAAAAAAAAAAAAAUGAAACCA
ensembl:lncRNA